AUUUUGGCUGUUUGGUCCAGACUGCUGUCUCAGACACUUUUCUCACCAGCUAUUCUGGUUCGGACCAAAGUUUGGCGGGAAUGAGCUCUAAAAGUACAGCACUGGAAAAUGCAGGGCAACAUGGUUAGCACAUCUGCCUCACAGUUCUGCGCAACGAGGUUCAAAUCCCAGCCUCGCCUGUGUGAGGUUUGCAUGUUCUCCCCGUGCCUGCGUGGGUUUUCUUGGGGCACUCAAGGUUUCCUGCCACAUCCCAAAACUAUGCACGGGAGGCGUCCAGGAGGCAUCCGAAUCAGAUGCCCCAGCCACCUCAUCUGGCUCCUCUCAAUAGGAAGAAGUAGCCGCUCGACUAUGAGCCCCUCCCGGAUGACCGAGCUUCUCACCCUAUCUCUAAAGGAGAGCCUGGACACCCUGCGGAGGAAACUCAUUUCGGCCGCUUGUAUCCGCAAUCUUUCAGUCUUUCAGUCCCAACCCACAGCUUGUGCCCAUAGGUGAGAGUAGGAAUGUAGAUUGACUGGUAAUUUGAGAGCUUCGCCUUUCGAGUUAGCUCCCUCUUUACCACAGCGGACCGAUCCAAAGUCUGCAUCACUGCAGACGCUGCACCGAUCCAUCUGUCGAUCUCCCACUCCAUUCUUCCUUCACUCGUGAACAAGACCCAAAGAUACUUAAAAUCCUCCACUUGGGGAAGGCUCUCAUCCCUCGACCUGGAGAGGGCACACCACCCUUUUCCGACUGAGGACCAUAGUCUCUGAUUUGGAGGUGCUGAUUCUCAUGCCACCUGCUUCACACUGAGAUCAUGGCUUGAUGAAGCCAACAGAACCGCAUCAUCUGCAAAGAGCAGAGAUGCGAUGCUGAGGCCACCAAACCGGACACCCGCUAGGCCUCAGCUGCGCCUAGAAAUUCUGUCCAUAAAAGUUAUGAACAAAAUCGGUGACAAAGGGCAGCCUUGGUGGAGUCCAACUCUCACUGGAAACGCCUCCGACUUAUUGCCGGCAAUACGGACCAAACUCUGACAGCGGUCAUACAGGGACCAAACAGCUGGUAUCAGGGGAUUCGGUAUUCCAUACUCCAGAAGAACCCCCCACAGGACUCCCAGAGGGACACGGUCGACUGCCUUCGCCAAGUCCACAAAACACAUGUACACUGGUUGGGCGAACUCCCAUGCACCCUCGAGGACCCUGCCUGCUCCACUGUUCCACGGCCAGGACGAAAACCACAUUGCUCCUCCUGAAUCUGAGACUCCACUUCCUGACGAACCCUCCUCUCCAGAAUCCUUGAGUAGACCUUACAAGGGAGGGUGAGGAGUGUGAUCCCUCUAUAGUUGGAAUACACCCUCCGGUCACACUUCUUGAAAAGGGGGACCACCACCCCAGUCUGCCAAUCCAGAGGCACUGUCCCCAGUGUCAACAGGAUGAUGCAGAGGCGUGUCAACCAGAACAGUCCCACAACAUCCAGAGCCUUUAGGAACUCCGGGCAAAUCUCAUCCACUCCCAGGGACCUGCCACCAAGGAGCUUUUUAACCACCUCAACCUCAGAGAUAGAAGAGCCCGCCUCAGAGCACCCAGACUCAGCUUCCUCGUGGGAAGGCGUGUUGGUGGAAAUGAGGAGGCCUUUGAAGUAUUCUCCCCACCGACUCACAACAUCCCGAGUUGAGGUCAGCAGCACCCCACAUGCCACGUCGGACUGGCAUCUUCCCCCACCAUCGGAGCCAACUCACCAGCAGGUGGUGAUCAGUUGACAGCUCCCCCCCUCUCUUCACCGGAGUGUCCAAGACAUACGGUCGCAAUUCCGAUGACACGACCACAAAGUCGAUCAUCGAACUGCGAUCACAAUCCGUGAUGAGCACAGAAGUCCAGUUACAGUACACCACUCGAGUUCGGAUAGGGGGGGCCAUUCUUCCCAAUCACGCUCUUCCAGUUCUCACUGUCAUUGCCCACGUGGGAAUUGAAGGCUAUCCUCUCAUCCACUGGGGUAAACCCCAACGCACAGGUCCCGAGCCGGGGGGCAAUAAGUAUACCCACACCUGCUCGGCGUCUCUCCCUGUGGGCAACUCCUGAGUGGAACAGAGUCUAACCCCUCUCAAGAGGAGUGGUGUCAGAGUCCAAGUGGUGCGUAGAGGCGAGUCCGACUAUAUCUAGUCGGAACCUCUCGACCUCACACACGAACUUGCGCUUCUUCCCUGCCAAAGAGGUGACAUUCCAUGUCGCCAGUUUCUGUAGCCGGGGAUCAGAUCGCCAAGGUCCCCCGGCUUUGGCCACCACCCAGCUCAUAUUGCACCCGACCCCAUGGCCGCUCUCACAGGCGGGGAGCCCAUGGGAAGGGGGACCCAUAUUACCCUUUCGGGCUGUGCCCGGCCAAGCCCCAUGGGUGCAGGCCCGGUCACCGGGCGCUCGCCUUCGAGCCCCAUCUUCAGGCCUGGCUCCAGAGGGGUCCCCGGUGACCCGCGUCCGGGCAAGGGAAACCAAGAUGCAAUUUUUGUAGUCAUCAUAGGGGGU